rnacentral:lncRNA from 1 species
GGAGCGUGAAGAACACCACCUUUUCCCGAAAAAUUGGAGCCCUGAUGUCUGCGCUUUUGUCCUGAGAAAGUCCACCACUGCCCUCUGCUCCAUGCUGCUGGGUGGAUUCUCCAAAGCCCCACUGCUGGUGCGUGACCACUGCUUCCUUGAGUUCAUUUGGGCGCAGACCUGCCAGGGCUUCAGCCCUGUCUGCUAGAGUUGAGAUGCAGGCAAUGGGGCCAGGUGAUGGGAGGGGCAGACAGGGGGCUUGAAGAGCCAGCUCUGUGCCCACAGCCUCUGGGUGCCACCCUCAGUGACUUUAUCUAGCACAUGUGAGAACUCUUUAGACUGCAUUUCAUAGAUGGGGAGUCUGAGGCUGAGGGACUUGGUGGCUUGCCGGUGAGUGGUGGGCAGGCUGGGUAGAAACUGGGUAGUUGGUCCCAGGGACUGGAAGGCCCGAGCCUGGCAUGCCGCCCCCUCCCCGCCUUUCCAGCAUCAAGGCUCCUGCUGCCUGCAGCCCCGCCUGGUCUCCAGCUCCGUCAGCUGAUGGUGCUGCUCUGAGUGGGCUGUGGCACGGGUGGCAUGUGCAGCCGUGGCCUGGAGCUGCUAGAGCUCUGGCCUUGGGCCCAGGGACCGGCCUGGACUUCUAGCUCAGGCCCUCUAAGUUGCUCUUGGCCCCCAUCCCCAGGCGUCAGCUUCAUCAUUGGGUGGUUCCUCAAUGCUGUCAGGGUGAUGUCUGCGCCCUGCACCUGAGUGGUGGGGACCUCCUUCCCAGAAGCCACGGGGGAAAUCUUUGUCCGGUUGGCUUGAAUUGGGUCAGGUCUCCAGUGCUGAGCCUGUCCUGUGGCCAGAGCUGGAACCUCUGGAUUGGCCCCAAACUUACCGUGCCUAGAGAUGGAGGUGGGAAGAGUGGAUACCCGAACAAAAACCUGGAUACAGUUUCUGAGAAGACAAGGGAUGGAUUCUAGGUGCUUAAGCCAGUGAUGCACCCCAUAGGGGCCUCCAGAGAGGGCCCAGGGAAUCACAGAACCUGCCUAGAAGUUUGUGUGUGUGUGUGUGUGUAUGUGUGUGUGUGUGUGUGUAAGAAUGUUGACAUCAGGGAGACCUUGGUUUUAUUCACCCCAUCCAGUCUAUCCAGGGCUGACCUCCAGGUCUGCGUCUGAUGGUGAACACAACCCAUGCAAGUCUGCUCUUUAUUGUUCUAGGGGUAGGGGCCACUGUGGGCCUGUGGGGAGCUUGGGCAGGUGGCUGGCCUGGCUCUGGUUGUGCAGACAGUGAUCACUGAGGAAGGCUCUGUAAAAUUAAAAGGAUCAUUACUGGUGAGCAGGGUUUACAGAGGAGGAUUCCCCACUGCUGGAGGGGAAGGGGAGAAGAGCCACUGCCCCUUCCCAGCCUGCCAAGGUCACGGCACUUUGGGCAAAGAUGGACAUCCAGUCUUGGAGUCCCAGGGUAGGCGGAGGCUCUGUCGCUCAACUUCACCCUGUCAUGUCCCCACAGUGUGCACUGUCAGGCUGCCCACGAAGGAAGCCCAGCUCCUCCCUCAAGGAGGCCUUGAGCCCAGGGUGGUGGAGGUUCACAAGGGGGACUGUCCCAGAUCUAGGGUGGGGUUCCAGCUUUGGAAGCCUGAUGCAACCCCUAUUCUCAUCUUAGUAGGUCUGUGGGGCAGAGCCAUGGAAGGGGCUGGGAAACUUAUGGAAGGUCAUCCUUCAUUAUGAGCUGGCAACCCUGAGUUUAUGGCUUCAGGCCAGGGUCUUCACCCGAGCUUCGGCCUGCCCAUCUCCCCUGACGGCCUCGGCAUCUCCAAGUGGGUCUUCUCAACCCUGGGGUAUCCUCCCCCGCCAUGUUGCUGGUGGCCCCCAUAUUCAUUGGCUUCUCCUCCCUGACCAAACUCUGAUUUUGUUCAGGUACCAAGAACUUCACUGAGGUCACUCAGCUUUCUUGCAGUGUGGUGGCUUUGUGAUAUAGAGAUGAGGGACAAAGAGGUGGCCUUUUGGCACAAAGAUGAGGGACGGCAUCCUUUCUCCCAAAAGUCAAAGCUGCCUUUUUAUUUGUUUGUUUUGUCUGCACCUGCAGCAUAUGGAAGCUCCUAGGACAGGGAUCGAAUCCAAGCCACAGCUGCGACCUAUACCACAGCAGCGGCAAUUCAGGAUUCUUAACCCACUGUUCCAGGGAUCAUCGAACAAGCAUCUCCACAGCUCUGCAGAGACAAUGCUGGAUCCUUAACCUGCUGCACCACAGCAGGAACUCCAAAACCUUCUUAAGAGAAAGGCCUUUGCCUCCCUCCUUGCCUGGAAUGAGACAAGCCUGUCAGGUUUGUGGGGUUUCUGUUACCGGAACGGUCCUGCUUGCUCUGUGCUCCUGUGUCUGUCAUCAAGGCCUCUGUCCAGCCUCCUAAAGAACCCUGAAUCCUCUUCUUCGUCCCACCCCCUCCCAGUUCAGCCUGUCACCCCUCCUGCAGGAAGGUGACAGUCAGGGUCCUGGCUGGUCCUGCUGCCACUGUGGGCAUCUCCCUCUAAGCCAUUCCAGGAGUUGACCAGGGCUGCCAGGGCGAUUUUUAUCAGAAACUCAUGUUUAAACGCCCCAGCAGUCUCUGUUCCUCCCACAAGCCAGCAUUCCUUACCCAGAUCCUUAGAAUCUGGCCCCUGACCACAGUCUCCUGGAACACAGACCUGCCUGGCCUCUCUAGCUGCAGGGGCACAGAAGCCCUGCCCCCUCUCCGCUGACCCCGCCCCCUUUCGGUCCACGUGCCUGGCCGUAGGCGGCCUCCUCAGAGUUCGCCCCUGCUUGUCUAGCUGUUUGUCCUGUUGUUUGUCAGGGGCGUAGGAGGAUUGAACUGCCAGCUGGUCCGCCCUCCGCCCAGGCUUCAGCUCACGGUGCUGGCUGCCAGCUCAGAACGCUGGGCUCCCCACGCGCUGCCAGGUCCCUGCGGAGGCUGCUACUUCUGCUUCAUGCUGACUAAAACUUGCGUGAAUGAGUCAUACUCCCGGCACCCAGCGCGCGUAAUCGGUUUCGUGUUUGCCUGUUCUGGACUGUGGUUUUUGCUUUUUAUUAAAAAAAAAAAA